CAGGUAUAGUUCAACGGCAGAACGUCAGCCUUCCAAGCUGAAUAUGCGAGUUCGAUUCUCGUUACCUG
rnacentral:tRNA from 1 species